AUGAAUGUUAAAUAUGGGAAGUUCUACUUUGUGUAUUACAGCUAACGCGUUAAACAUUCCGCCUGGGGACUACGGUCGCCAGAUUAAAACUCAAUGGAAUUGACGGGGACCCGCACACGCGGUGGAGCAUGUGGUUUAAUUAGAUGCAACGAGAAAAACCUUCCCACUCCUUUACAUGGAAAUUAUACAUAUUGGAAGGGAUCGGGUCGGCUCGUCCGGGUUUCACACAGGUGUUGCAUGGCUGUCGUCAGCUCGUGUCGUGAGAUGUUGGGUUAAGUCCCGCAACGAGCGCAACCCUCAUCCUUAGUUACCAUCAGGUAAUGCUGGGGACUUUAAGGAAACUGCCAGUGAUAAACUGGAGGAAGGUGGGGAUGAUGUCAAGUCAUCAUGGCCCUUAUGGAGUGGGCUACACACGUGCUACAAUGGUGGCUACAAUGGGAUGCAACGUCGCGAGGGUAAGCUAAUCCCUUAAAAGCCAUCUCAGUUCGGAUUGUACUCUGCAACUCGAGUGCAUGAAGUUGGAAUCGCUAGUAAUCGUGGAUCAGCACGCCACGGUGAAUACGUUCCCGGGUCCUUGUACACACUGCCCGUCACGCCAUGGGAAUUGGUUUCACUAGAAGCUAACGACCUAACCGCAAGGAGGGAGUUAUCCAAAGUGGGAUUGGUGACUGGGGAGAAGUCGUAACAAGGUAGCAGUAGGGGAAUCUGCGGCUGGAUC
rnacentral:rRNA from 1 species